UACUAUAUUAAAAUUCAAGCAGAAAACUUGAUCAUUGUAAGAUAUAAGCUUUAAAUUCAAAGAAUUUGGCGGUAAUUUAGUCUUUCCAGAGGAACCUGUUUUUUAAUCGAUAAACCACGAAGAAUCUUACUUACCCUUAUAUCGUUUGUAUACCAUCAUUAUCAGAUAAUAUUUAAAGAUAAAUUAUUGAAUAUUUAAACAAAAAUGAAAAUUAGAUCAAGGUGCAGCUUAUGGGUAAGUUAAAAUGGGUUACAAUUAGGUAAACAUAAGAUGGAUUAAGACUUGAAAAGGUUUUAUGAAGGAGGAUUUGGUUGUAAUAGGGAUUAGUAAGAUUAAAUGAUAUAAGCUCUAGAUUAU
rnacentral:rRNA from 1 species